rnacentral:rRNA from 1 species
ACCAUGCAGUCGAACGGCAGCACGAGAGAGCUUGCUCUCUUGGUGGCGAGUGGCGGACGGGUGAGUAAUAUAUCGGAACGUGCCUAGUAGCGGGGGAUAACUACUCGAAAGAGUGGCUAAUACCGCAUACGCCCUACGGGGGAAAGGGGGGGAUCGCAAGACCUCUCACUAUUAGAGCGGCCGAUAUCGGAUUAGCUAGUUGGUGGGGUAAAGGCUCACCAAGGCAACGAUCCGUAGCUGGUUUGAGAGGACGACCAGCCACACUGGGACUGAGACACGGCCCAGACUCCUACGGGAGGCAGCAGUGGGGAAUUUUGGACAAUGGGGGAAACCCUGAUCCAGCCAUCCCGCGUGUAUGAUGAAGGCCUUCGGGUUGUAAAGUACUUUUGGCAGAGAAGAAAAGGUACCUCCUAAUACGAGGUACUGCUGACGGUAUCUGCAGAAUAAGCACCGGCUAACUACGUGCCAGCAGCCGCGGUAAUACGUAGGGUGCAAGCGUUAAUCGGAAUUACUGGGCGUAAAGCGUGUGUAGGCGGUUCGGAAAGAAAGAUGUGAAAUCCCAGGGCUUAACCUUGGAACUGCAUUUUUAACUGCCGAGCUAGAGUAUGUCAGAGGGGGGUAGAAUUCCACGUGUAGCAGUGAAAUGCGUAGAUAUGUGGAGGAAUACCGAUGGCGAAGGCAGCCCCCUGGGAUAAUACUGACGCUCAGACACGAAAGCGUGGGGAGCAAACAGGAUUAGAUACCCUGGUAGUCCACGCCCUAAACGAUGUCAACUAGCUGUUGGGGCCGUUAGGCCUUAGUAGCGCAGCUAACGCGUGAAGUUGACCGCCUGGGGAGUACGGUCGCAAGAUUAAAACUCAAAGGAAUUGACGGGGACCCGCACAAGCGGUGGAUGAUGUGGAUUAAUUCGAUGCAACGCGAAAAACCUUACCUACCCUUGACAUGUCUGGAAUCCCGAAGAGAUUUGGGAGUGCUCGCAAGAGAACCGGAACACAGGUGCUGCAUGGCUG